UGCAUGGCCAAGGGCAGCCCCAGGUUCCCCAUCUAAGGGGACAGGGAUGGCAACAGGUGAGGAGGAUUAAAGGCACUAACCCGUGGCCUUAGCAUCGAGGCUGAUAUGUGAUAAUCACCCAAUUUAGUUAGCCAAUACUAUUAUCACAUGCUAAUAGAGAUUCCGACUUGCGCAACAGGGAGGCUCUAUCCAUCACUUUCCUCUUCCACAAACGCACAUGACAGUCGGGGUUGGCUUCCACCCCUUAAUUGCGCAGUGGACAGUGUGCUGUCAAAUGGAGCAACCAGUGAGGUCUACAAGAAUGCCUUACGGAGGCAGCAAAAUAGAUCCAGGUGGAAAAGUUGCAGGAACCCCCGGGCCACACGUGAGGCGAGCACUCAGUCUCUGCCUCGAGGAUGAAAGAAGGGCCAACUGCACAUUAAAAGAAAGUCCCAUCAUUGCCUCCAUUUUAUGAUGCAGAAGGAGCCCUCCAGGUGGGAUAAGUCAUUCAGACAGCGCAACUCACAGAGGGCACUGGAGCCCGGAGUGCGGUUCCAGAAGGCAGCUCUUUGCCGUCACACCACACUGUCUGUCUCUAAAGGACCCACUGCAGGGUGACUUGGUUAACAGCUGAGAACCCACUGAGGUCAGCAGAAACUCCAGGGGAAGAAGAAGAGGGCACAUGGCCGCCUAGGAUCUCUGCAACAACAUGCUACCAGGAGACGGCACAACACGCAAGGUCGGGAAAGGGGAAGCAGAUGAUACUCUUUGAUGUUUCUGAAGUACCUCCGCCACAAGCAAGCACAGAGAUGUAUUUCAGUUUGGGAUAGAAAUGGCUAUUUGCAUUUCAUCAUCUUUGAGCAGGACUGCAGACAUAAAUGGGACCCAUGAUGGAGCCAAAUCAGCAUAUUGCAGUGUGAGCCCGAGGUGAUAUCCAGCAGGCCUUUGAGAGGUGUGGGCACCCAGCGUGUAACACUGGCAUUAAUCACCAGUGACUCUGAAUGUUCGUGGAAGAUCAGUAAGCAUGCAAAUGAGAGAACAGGAUCGGCCCCAUCCCCAUCUGAUUGGAAACAUAUCAGGCCGCCCCCUUUCAUAUCAAGUUUCCAUUGUAAAGAGUAAAACUUUCAAUGGCCAUUCCUCUUGCCGCUGCCCUCUCUGUGAUGCUGGUGCUUCCUCCUGCUGCUGUUCCCGGGAGGACAGUUGAGCCAAGGGCAGCUUCUCCUCCUCUCCCUCCCCUAGCCAUGCCUAUCACACAUAAGGAACCAACAGUUUCCAAUUUGAUUCCAUUUUUCUCCAACUACUUAAAGAAAAAGGCCUUACAGCC
rnacentral:lncRNA from 1 species